GACGAACGCUGGCGGCGUGCUUAACACAUGCAAGUCGAACGGAAAGGCCCUGCUUUUGUGGGGUGCUCGAGUGGCGAACGGGUGAGUAACACGUGAGUAACCUGCCCUUGACUUUGGGAUAACUUCAGGAAACUGGGGCUAAUACCGGAUAGGAGCUCCUGCUGCAUGGUGGGGGUUGGAAAGUUUCGGCGGUUGGGGAUGGACUCGCGGCUUAUCAGCUUGUUGGUGGGGUAGUGGCUUACCAAGGCUUUGACGGGUAGCCGGCCUGAGAGGGUGACCGGCCACAUUGGGACUGAGAUACGGCCCAGGCUCCUACGGGAGGCAGCAGUGGGGAAUAUUGCACAAUGGGCGGAAGCCUGAUGCAGCAACGCCACGUGCGGGAUGACGGCCUUCGGGUUGUAAACCGCUUUCGCCUGUGACGAAGCGUGAGUGACGGUAAUGGGUAAAGAAGCACCGGCUAACUACGUG
rnacentral:rRNA from 1 species